rnacentral:lncRNA from 1 species
AACAUGAACAUGUCAGAUGCAAUUAUAGCUUUGAGCAUUUGCAUAACCAGAAAUCCUAACCUGAACAAGCACCAGAAGUGUCUCUCGGACUUUCUCCUUGCUGAUAAAUGGUCCGCUGUCUGAAGUAAGAGCAGGAGUAAGAGAUGGUGGAGGGGUUGGUGGUGGAAAAGGUUGAAGCACUGGGGCACCAUAUGGGCGUUGCAGACUCGGGGGAGGAUUAAGUGGCGAGCUGUUGGUGUAGAUGAAGAGACAAGCUGCAUCAUCCGUGCAUAGGAGGAUGGAGGAGGAACAAAGAAUAAGGAAGGCUUUACAAGAUUAGGGGUAGGUGCUGAUAGAGGUGGAGAUGGUAUUUGCAAAGUUGGCACGAUAGGAGAAGCAACACUGCGGGAUGAGAAGGUAAAGAAAUAGUUGUAUUGGACUGGUAAGGUUGUGCAGAGAUUGCUGCAUUAGAAUUAUUCCCCACAGUCAAAGCUGUCUGCAAUGAUAAGGACAGAUGUCAUAUAAAAGGACUCAUAGAAGUUGAACCUCACACAAAAAUGAAGUGAUAACAUAUGAAAAUAGUAUAUGACUUGCUGCAUUUUUGUGGUAAUGUUGCAUACUUAUGUAGAAACAUAUUAUUUCAAAGAAAACAUACAUGAAGAAGUUCACAAAAGCAGGAUCUUCAGGAACAUCAACAGCAUUUGAGGAGUUGACUCUAGAGGACCAUCCAUAACUGCCAUAGUUGGAACAGCUUCCAGUUCCUCAAACUCACUGCAGUUUAACAUAAAAGGAACUUGAUGACCAAUUUAAGUAAUAAUUAGAUGAUAUAAGAGGUUAGGGAAAAUGAUGAGUGGACCCUUAUGGAAGAUGAUUUCACCUUAGCUAAACACGAAAAUAAAAUGAAAUCAAAGCUGAAUCCUCGAGUGCAAUGCAAAUAAUUUUUUCUCUCUCUUCUCUAACUCCUCUUAUUCGAAAUUGCUCAUCAUUGUGCAGUUCCUCGAGAUUUUGCUAGAGUAGAGAAAGCUAUUCUCCCCGUUAAGUGCAGAGGAAAAAGAAGGGCAAGGGCCUGGUAUGAUGCUAUUCUAUAGGAAGUGAGAAGGUGAAGGGCUAAAAUAUUUUGCAAUUUGGAGGUGGUGUUUGUUAGUGUGUGUACUUCUGAAUUUAUUACCUCUUUAGGAUCCAUAGAAAUUGCCUCUUGUUCAGCAUGCACUGUGCCUACGAGUAAGGCGAGCUUGCAUGGUAUCUAUUGUCUAUUUACUUGGAUAUUCAAACAGGACUACCAGCAACCAAACACAAAUCCCCAAACAAAACACUCUUUCAAGUGCAAGGAAAGAGUAACUUGGGCAUAUUUAUGGUUCAAGCACUACAAUAACUAAGAAUGUGAUGACUGUCCACAAACACUAUAUCAGUGCCUUUUGAACUACAUCACAUGCUUGAAGACUUUUUUUUUAGUCAUACAUAAAUUAGCUAUAAAAUCAAGACCCUUAUACAACUAAAAAGAAAGAAAAAUUGUUUGCUACUACAUAUCAAAACUGGUAAUAGCAAUGUAAGAUGGCAGACUUCUUACUUAAACAGAUGAGAGGCUACAAAUAAAAAAUUUGUGCAAAUAAAAUAUAUGAUAAAGAGCAUAAUACUUUCUUGGGGGCUAAAAAUAAUAUACAACUUGUGAAAUAUAAAUUGAGCUACCAUUACCUUUUAGAUGUGGCAACUUUCGACUUUUGAGGCACCUUGGAAUAUGCAUUCAGAAUCCUGCAUUUGGAAGCCAAAUAAAUAAUGUUAAUAACAAUUUUACAAUAGAAAAAUUAAAAAUUGAUAAAUGGCAGUUGUAAUUUAUGUAUGGUAAAGAUAGCAUCACAUCCAGGUUCCUCCCAUAAACAUGCUUGUAACAAGAAUUAGUUUGCCUCAACUGCUAGCAACUAUACAAUAGUAAAAAUCACUCUUAUGAACUCAACAAUACUAGGCACCAAUAAGAGUAUGACACAGCCAUUCUAAAUGGAAGAGAAUACAACUGUUUUACAACUAUGUUGCAUCAGGAGAUAUGUUAGGAGGAUUAAUCCAGAUACCUUCCAACCCAAAUUAGGAAAACUCGAGUCAGAAACCAGGAGCUGCAACCAAACCUUACAAUCUUGAAGGAAGAAGGAGACUUGGGGCAUUUUUCCAGAUAGGUGACUUACAAGAUCUCCUGCCAAGAAAAUAUCUAUUGCUUUGAACCUCCAUUGAAAUUUCUUUUCCUUUUUUCUUGUUUUGACUUGGAACUUUCCAGCAUCAUCUAUUUGAUCUUUUUUAAAGCUAAAAUAGCAAUCUAUGCGUUGUCAACAUCUUAUCCCCCGCCCCCCCGGGGGGCCACCAAAAAAAAAAAAAACCAAUGAGUUGUCAAUAAAUAGCGCCUACUCAACUUAUGUUCUCCAAUGAUGACAAUGUGCAAAUUGACCUAGCAGCCACAUUUUUCCCCCUUUCAACCACCAUUAGGCAACUUUUCUAACCUUUCUUCAUUGCCCACGUCUACAGAACUAUCAUAUAAAGACUACAUUAUUAUUGGGACAGAGAAAAAAAUACAGACUAUAUUAUUAUUAUAUCUCAUUUUAUUAAUUAACUAGUGCAAGACUUAUUUAGUGUCAAAUCAAGAACUAAUUAGAAAAGACAACUCAUGAUAAUACAGACUUUAAAAAGCAAUAGCUAGCAAACCCCAUAUACUCCUAUUUUAGCCUUCAAUAUCCUGGUAAAAAACACAAUUAAGUCUAGCAAAAGAACAUUCACAAGUAAAUUCAACAUUAAUUAAGAUUAAGUAUCUACUGCACCUUCAAUCAAUGACUCGGUGAAUAGCAUGGUCAACCAUCUAGUUCCUGUAGCCCCUUGUACCUAUGUUAGUUACAUUUUACAUAUUAAGCCACGAAAAUGAAGGAUCACAGCCUGGUAAAGAAAGCCAUUAAUUAAUAGUUUUUGUUUAAAAAGUUCUCGUUUAGAUCUUUCCUAUUCAAUGAAUCAAUGUAAUCCAAGGAGAACUCUUCCAUUUCAAGCAGUGUUAGAAGAUAAUUGGAAAGCCUAAAGAUAAUAUACAGGACCAAGAUAUCGAUUAGGUCAAAUAGUGAAUGUCAAAUAUAAAAAAUAAAUAAAAGAAGUUGUACAUGAUCAUUUACUAUCAAGUUCUGUAAAACUGAAAAUACCAUUAUCCCUGUAGAGAUUCUCAAACAACUCUUUAGCAAAUUAUAAAAUAGUUAAAAAAAGAACGAAAGUUUAAAAAAAAAAAAUGUACAACAGCCAUAUCAGGAGAUGUUUUUCUUCUCAAUCUCAAUAUUUUCUAGCCGUAAACAAUUGAAAAGCUUAACACCAAGUGAAUUAUUAAGAAUUCAUCAUUUAAAUUCCCAAAUCGUAAAUGUUGGUGCAACUACGAAAGUGCAAAUGCAAUCACUUUACUUACACAAGAAACAUCAAUAGUGAGAAGCCAACUUUGUAUCAAAUUUGAAGCAGAUAGAUAGAGGUCAAAAAAAUUAUAAAGACACUCAAUUAAAAGCCUUUCAAACAGCUUUUGCAUGCAACAAGAACAAAUCAAAGGCGAUGUGAAUGUAUUCAAAGACUAAUUUACAAUCAUCUACAGGACAUAAAUAUCUUGGAUAACUACUCUCUAUACCUUACUGUCCCACUGAAAAUCAUCAAAUCCUCCAAACAAAAAUGACAAAAUGGAUAAGAAUUGUGUGGUCAAACAUCAAUAACUUAGCAGCCACAGCAAAAACUUAUGUAGACACGCAAGCCACUCAAAAUAGUCAUAUUGUUUGCUUUCCAAACACAAGCCACUUUGUAAUGAAUAUUCAUAAAUUGCUACUACCAUGUUUGUUAAAACACGUGAAAACCGCCAUCACUAACUAAAUGUAACUGAUGAUCAUCAUCACGUUCAUGGAAUCACAUGUCUGACAGUAUUAAUUNGUUGAAAAGUAGUCUGUAAAAUUAACUCAAACCGCUACAUACGCUAUUGCAACCCAAUUGAGGGCCCAUUUUUGUUUAUUUCGUUGAAAAGUAGUUCGCGCAAUUAAUUCAAACCGCUACACACACUAUUGCAUCUUUUGAAAAAGAAAAAUGGAAUAAUUUUUCAAAAUUAAUUUAGAGAAUAAGAUUUACUAAUAAUGAUGUUAGAAAUCUUGAUAUUUGAAUCUUAAUAUUAUCUAUCACUCAUUUAUUAAAUAAUAGAUUUCAUAGUUUGUAAAAUUACUUAACCACUUGAUAAAUGUUAUAUUUGUUGGGACUAGAUUGGGACUUAAAUAUUGGAAUAUCUAGUAUUGCAUAAAAAAAAAACUUAACAAUUUAUCUUCACACGACUAAUUGUUUUUACAUCACAACUAACCUUAAUUAUUUUAAAAGUUAUGCAUUAUUAAAUUGCCCUAACUAGUUAUCAAAAGGUGAAAGCAUGUUUAAAAAAGAAAUUACUAAGAAACAUUUGUUUAAACGAAGGUUAAGGUUAUGAUCAAUUAAUUAAGAAGAAACUUACUAUCAAAGGUUAAGAUUAUGAACAAUUUAAGGAAGUUAUUGAGUAGAGAAAGGGACAGAAUGGUUGUCUGAUUUGCCGGUGACAAGAAUGCUUGUGUUGUGAAAAGAAAUCCGAUGGUUUGUAAAUUUGUUGAAUUGGUCCCAAUUAGUAUAGUAACCAUCUAUUGAGCGGUAAAAUAUUAAUUUAAAUAGUCAUGAAAUCUAAUAUAUAAUAGAUUACUAACACACAUAAAUUAAAACUUAACUGUCAGAAAUCAUAACAUUAUCUAGCUUCAGUGGAGUUCUCUUAACAGAUUAUGUGAGAUUGCCUAUAUUAAAAAAUAUGUUAAGACUGCUUGUUGAAAGCAAUAUUCGCUUUUGAUUAUAUCCAUAACUUUGAAUUGAUAAAGUUGUAUUCAACAACUCUUGAAAAGACUAAGCAGGUCUUCUUUGCAUUUGAUCACUGGUAUUUCAGUUAAGUUUGUCGUUUACUUAAAUUUUUCUUGCUUUCAAUUUCCACUGUUGUUUUUUUUUUUAAUAAAAUAAAUUGUUUAACUAGUCAUAGAAAUAAGAGAGAAAUGGGUCAUUUCUUGACUCAAAGUCAAUUAUAAUUAUCAAAACUUGAGGGGACAUCGCAUGCCUAAAUUCCACGCACCCUAAAACAGUUUGAUUUGCUUUCACGCGUUCAUGAAUUUCCAUGAAAGAGCCUGUCUUUCGUCUCUUUCGGGACAAUGACUACAAUUAUGGAAAAAAAUUAUAAUUCUCGUUAGAUUGUAACCAAAUUAUUAUCCCUAAUUUUUUAAAGUUAAAUAAAAUAAAAUUCAUGCUUAAGUAUUUAGUAAUUAGAGAGAGAUAGAGAGGAUUGAGGGACAAUGUUUCGCGAUUUGGGGUCAAUUCAAAGUCAACUAACGUGUAAAACACGUGUAUGCAUAGAAAACGCUUAGAUUAUUUGUGUUCCAAGUGCAAGAAAUUAAGAAAAGAAAAUUGAUUUCCUUUCAUGAACUUCCAAGAAAGAAAGAAGACCCUUCACCUUGUUCGUGACAACAAAUGAAUGAAUGAUGUUGAUAUGACAAAUACAAGCGCUAUUACAGGGAACAGCAUAAGACCGAGACUUGAUAAAAGGUUUGUUGAAUUACAUGUUAUUUUCUUUUGACUUGAAUGAUGUUGAAAAUAAAAUAAAAUAAAAUUGUAAUCAGGGUGAUGUGUGCAAUAUAGUGAAAUAAAUAAAUAGAGAAGAGAAAUUCGUUGAUCAAUAUUAAAGAACUCAUCCAAAGUGAUCGUCAAAGUCUAGAGGUUCGGUAUGAUUAGCAUUUAUUUUUAUUUUUUUUGGCUUAGCAUCAUAUAUAGUCACUGUCGUGUGAUCUAGGACAUGUUUAGAAAUCCUUUUAUUUUAACUUCCGUAUUCUUAUUAUUUAAUUAGUUAUAAAGUUUUUAAGUAUUUGAGUAUUGAUCACAUGUCUCCUAAUCUAAAAAUAUGUUUUUACGAGUACAAAUAACAAACUAUGAUUUUAACAUCCUUUUAUACUAAACCCUAAAAAUACAUGAAUUUAUCAAAAUAAGUAAAUUAAUUUAAAUUGGUAUGGCAUAAUAGAAGUUUUACCUGCCAAAACAAAUUAAAAAAAUAUUACACUUAAAUCAAAUAUUGACAAAAAUAGAUAACAAUCUAAUGAGAAUCUUAACUAGACAUUUUUAAUUCUAUCCAAUUUAACUGGAACGAGAAUUAAGUCCUUUCAAUACUUAGGACUCAUAACUCAUACACACUAGUUUGAGAGUGUGGGGUGUGACAAUGGGACCAUUGACAAGUAUAAAAGAGUGGUCGCAAUUAAUUCAAACCACUACACACGCUAUAUUGAGGGCCCACUUUUGUUUAUUUCGUUGAAAAGUAGUUUUCACAAUUAAUUCAAACCGCUACACACGCUAUUGCGUCUUUUAAAAAAGAAAAAUGGAAUAGUUUUCCAAAAUUAAUUCAGAGAAGAAGAUUUACUAAUAAUGAUGUUAGAAAUCUUAAUAUUAUGUAUCACUCAUUUAUUAAAUAAUAGAUUUCAUAGUUUGUAAAUUUACUUAACCACUUGAUAAAUGUUAUAUUUGUUGGGACUAAAUUGGGACUUAAUGUUGGAAUAUCUAGUAUUGCAUAAAAAAAUAAAUAAAAACUUAACAAUUUAUCUUCGCAUGACUAAUUGUUUUUACAUCACAACUAACCUUAGUUAUUUUUUAAAGUUAUAGUAUUAUUAAAUUGCCCUAACUGGUUAUCAAAAGAGGAAAGCAUGUUAAAAUAAGAAAUUACUAAGAAACAUGUGCUUAAACAGAGGUUAAGGCUACGAAUAAUUAAGAAGAAACAACUUACAAUCAAAGGUUAAGAUUAUGAACAAAUUAAGGAAGGUAUUGAGCAGAUAAAGGGACGGAAUCAUUGUCUGAAUUGCCGGUGACAAGAAUGCUUGUGUUGUGAAAAGAAAUCUGAUGGUUUGUAAAUUGUUGAAUUUUUUAUUCGCUCGCUCCAACUGACUUACUAAUGCCAAAUUUAUUACUUUGCACAGUAGUGUUUAGGAUCCUCAAGAUCAACUCUUAAUUUGGUCCCAAUUAGUGCAGAAAUCAUCUAUUGAGCAAUAGAAUAAGAAUUUUUCUAGUCAUGAAAUUUAAAUAUAUAAUAUAUCCUUGACACACAUCGAUUAGAACUUAAUUGUUAGAAUUCAUAACAUUACUCUACUCUCAAGGGGAGUUCUCUUAACAUAUUAUGUUAGGUUGCCUACAUUCAAAAUAUGUUAGACUGCUCUUUGAAAGCAAUAUUCCCUUUUCCGUAACUUUGAAUUGAUCCAAUAGCUCUUGAAAAGCACAUAAUAAUCAUUAUAAAUUUAAUCAAAGACUAAGCAGGUCUUCUUUGCAUUUGAUCACUGGCAUUUCAGUUAAGUAUGUCAUUUACUUAAAUUUUUCUUGCUUUCAAUUUUCACUGUUGUUUUUUUUUUUAAUAAAAUAAUUUGUUUAACUAGUCACAGAAAUAAGAGAGAAAAUGGGCCAUUUCUUGACUCAAAGUCAAUUAUAAUUAUCAAAACUUGAGCGGACAUUGCAUGCCUAAAUUCCACACACCCUAAAACGGUUUGAUUUGCUUUCACGCGUUCAUGAUUUUCCAUGAAAGAGAGUGCCUCUCGUCUCUUUCCGGACAGUGACGACAAUUAUGUUAACGUGACAAAUACAUAACGUUAUUACAUACAAGAAUAAGUUUUUGGAGCCGAGACUUGAGGGAGGUUCUAUCUAAUUCUAAAGAUUGUAACCAAAUCAUUAUCCCCAAUUUUUUUCAGUUAAAUAAAAUAAAAUUUAUGCUUAAGUAUAAAUAAAAUCCAUAGUGGAUAAAUAUUUGAUUAUCGAUUUUUUUUAAUGUAAAAUUGCUGGUUUGUUGCUUAAAAUUUUCAAUAAUAAUUUCACUUAUUUAGUAAUUAGAGAGAGAGAGAGGAUUGAGGGCCAAUGUUUCGCGAUUUGGGGUCAAUUCAAAGUCAACUAAGGUGUAAAACAUGAUUUCCUUUCAUGAACUUCGAAGAAAGAAAGAAGACUCUUCACCUUCUUCAUGACAACGAAUGAUGUUGAUAUGACAAAUACAAUCGCUAUUACAGGGAACAGCAUAAGACCGAAAUUUGAUAAAGGGUUUGUUAAAUUACAUGUUAUUUUCUUGUUAACUGAAUUGGAAGAAAAAAUAAAAAUAAAAUAAAAUUGUAAUCAGUGUGAUGUGUGGAAUAUAUUGAAAUAAAUAAAUAGAGAAGAGAAAUUCGUUGAUCAAUAUUCAAGAACUCAUCCAAAGUGACUGUUAAAGUCUAGAGGUUCCGUAUGAUUAGCAUUUAUUUUUAAUUUUUUGGCUUAACAUCAUAUGUAGUCACUGGUCGUGUGAUCUAGGACAGGUUUAGAAAUCUUUUUUUUUUUUUAACUUCCGUAUUCUUAUUAUUUAAUUAGUUAUAGGGUUUUUUAGUAUUUGAGUAGUGAUCACAGGUCUCCUAAUCUAAAAUUAUGUUUUACGAGUACAAAUAAAAACUAGGAUUUUAACAGCCUUUUAUACUGAACCCUAAAAAUACAUGAAUUUAUCAAAAUAAAUAAAUUUGAAUUGGUAUGCCAUAAUAAAAAUUUUACUUGCCAAAACAAAUUAAAAAAAAAUAUGACGCUUAAAUCAAAUAUCGACAAAAAUAGAUAAAAAUCCAACAAGAAUCUCAAAAAUAAGAAAGAUAUCUUCAAAAUAGAAGCGUCCAAGAGAAAUUUGGCGAAGAUUUGCUAAUCCACAUUGAAAAUGUCACUUUUCCUUGAGAACUUCAUAAUGAUAUAUUAUGAGCCUAAGACAAAUACCAAUUACUCAAGUUAUGGCCCUAUGAAGACAUCCUAUUCAUUCUCCCUAGACCAGGACGUGUCGCACAUGUUUGCAUUCAAAUUUAGGUGAAAAUCUACUCUCAUUCAAGGGAUAUAUAGGUACCUGUGAAGUCUCAAACCCGAGAUAAUGUGAAAGCAAAUCGGGAGUUUGAUUAAAUUCAGCCAAUUAUUAGUGUGUACGGAUGGUAGGGAUGGAAAAAAACUCCGACCGUUCUUAGGUAUGGUAUUACCCAGAUCUGGCCUAAGCAUGUUUUUUUGAACACUCAGAAUUUUUUAAUCAAAACUUAAAAAACCUAGAAUUUAUAUUUUAUAAUAUUAUAUAUAUUUAUUUUAUUUUAUAAUUUUAUAUUUUCAAAUUUUAUUUUAAUGAAUUGGAAUUAAAAAUAUGAGUUUUAAAUGUUUAAAAUUUUAAAAAUAGAUAAUAAGUGGACCAAAUGAACAAAAUAAUAGAUAUUUAUAAUAUUCUUCAUAAAAAUCCAAGUUUUGAGCUAGCCCAUAAGCUUGUCUAGUGAAGUCUGGGUACCCGCGUUGCCCAAGGUUCCGUCAGAAUCCAGGCUGUGCAGAUAUUUAUGGACGGAGAGGAAAUAUUUUCAGUUGACUGAAUUAAAUAAAAAUAUAUUACAAUCAUAUUAUAUAUUAACAGUAAAAAUAAAAAGAAAUGAAGAAAAACGCAUGCAAGACUUAGACAAAGUCAAUUAAAAGCUGGAGUAUCAUCAGUUCAAUUGGUUUUAAAUAGCGUAGAGCCAUCCUCUCGUUGUUGCAGAAGAGAGACAGAAAGAGUGUGUGUAGGCGAUUAUAAUUAAGCAGAUAUAAUGUGUGGUUCAAAAAGAGUGUGGGUGAGUGAGUUAAUUUUCAUAUUAUUAGUAGUAAAAGGGUGGUGGAGUGAGGGAUGUUUGGGCAAGAGGUCUGCUCUCCUCCAACUCAGACAUUUCUUCAAUGAUGAUCACCGUCUUCAAAACUGGGUAGACGAUGAGUAUUAUUCAGAUUGUUGUCAGUGGGAACGGGUUGAGUGCAACGACACCACUGGCAGAGUGAUUGAAUUAGAUCUAGCAGUAACUCGGAAUUGGGAAUCAGCAGAGUGGUAUAUGAAUGCCUCUCUGUUUACUCCUUUUGAACAAUUAGAGUCUCUUGAUCUAAUAGGGAACAAUAUAGCCGGUUGUGUUGAAAAUGAGGUCCGUAAUUUACUCUAUUUUAAUUCUUCCUCAUAAUUUUUUCCAUUUAUCUGAUCCCUUUUGGUUUUUAUUUAAUUGUAUGUGAUACAAUAAAAUUACUUUUUAUUUUUUGGCAGGUCUAGAUAGGUUAUCAAGUUGAACAACUUGAAGUUUCUUUAUUUAGACCUUAACCACUUCAACAACAGCAUCUUUUCAUCUCUAGGUGGUCUUUCAUCACUCAGAAACUUAUCAUUGGCUGCUAAUCGAUUGAAUGGAAGUGUUGAUAUUAAAGGUAAGUAAGCUUCAUCCCUUCUCCCCUGUCCCAUCUUUUGUGGAUCUUAUUUCACUGAGCAGCUGGAAGUAUUGAUACGAGAUCUAGCUAGACUCUUGCGAGUUUAGGCUUCACGGCUUUGAAUAGUAUAAAAAUAAGUUGAAGAAAUUAUCAAUAUAUUGCAAUUUUCAAUGCUUCUCAUAAUCAGACACAAUUCAAUCUAAUUAUUUCGUAUGUCCUGUCUUCAAAAGUAAAGAAUUGUACACUAAUUGGAAAUCGACAUCGUAGCUUUUUAUUUUCUGUAAUGCUAUUUCUUCGUUAACAAGUUUAUAUCCUAAGAGGGAUUGGAUUGAAAAAAAAAAAAGAAGUUUUGAUGUUCAAUGUAAGCCAUGAUAACCUGCAUCUUAUUUGUCUGCCGACAUCCAAAUUUGUGCACUGAAUUUAGUAUUUUGGUUAUUGUGAAGGGAUCAGAUAUUGGCUUCCAUAGACCAACUUGUAUUUACUUAAUUAAUUAAUUAACGACAUUUAGUAUUUAACAAAUUAAAAUUUCAUGUUUAAUCUAUUUUAAUUUUUUAAGAAAAAAGAAAUAGAUAUAGCAGCAGGUAAAGCUGAAAUAAAUUUUAAUUCCUUACAAAUUUAAAUUCAUGGUUGUCAGCUAAAUAUAACUGCUUAAAGCCACUCUUUUCGCUGAGAUUUAACCAAAAAAAAAGGAGAAAAUAAUUUAUUUAAUUAACUCUGUUUUAAGUGUUGGAAUAAAUACAGGACUAGAAUCCUUGAGUAACUUGGAGAUGCUGGACAUGAGGGACAAUGCAAUCGACAAUCUAGUGGUUCCUAAAGGUAUACAAAAUGACACUAACCCAAAAUAAUUUAAUCCGAAAUUGUAUCCCAAAUAGAUUACAGAGGUUUGAGGAAGUUGGAUACCCUUUAUUUGGGGGGGAAGGGAAAUUGCAGUGAUAUAUGGAAGCAAGGUGUUGCAAUCAAUAAAGAAAUUCGUUGGUCAAUAUUCAAGGACUCAUCCAAAGUAAUCGUUAAACAUUUCUUCAAUGAUGAUCAACGUCUCAAAACUAGGUAGACGCGGGAGAUGAUGAGAAUAAUUUAGAUUGUUGUCAGUGGGAAGGGAUUGAGUGCAACAAAACCACAGGCAGAGUGAUUAAAUUAGAAUCUAGCACAAACUCGAAAAUGGGAAUCAGCGAAGUGGUAUAUGAAUGCCUCUCUGUUUACUCCCUUUCAACAAUUAGAGUCUCUUGAUCUAAUUGGGAACAAUAUAGCUGAUUGUGUUAAAAACGAAGGUCAUUAAUUUACUCUAUUUUAAUUCUUCCUCCUCGUAAUUUCUUACAUCUAUCUGAUCCCUUUCGGCUUUUGUUUAAUUUGUACGUGAUACAAUAAAAUUAUUUUUUUUUCAGGUCUGGAGAGGUUAUCAAGGUUGAACAACUUGAAGUUUCUUGAUUUAGGCUUUAACCACUUCAACAACAGCAUCUUUUCAUCUCUAGGUGGUCUUUCAUCACUUAGACACUUAUCAUUGGCUGAUAAUAGAUUGAAUGGAAGUAUUGAUGUUAAAGAUAAGCAAGCUUCAUCCCUUCUCUCGUGUCCCAUCUUUGUGGAUCUUAUUUCAUCGACCAGCUGGAAGUAUUGAUACGAGAUCUAGCUAGACUCUUGCUAGUUUAAGCUUCAAGGCUUUGAAUAUUAUAAAAAUAAGUUUAAGGAAUUAUCAAUAUAUGCAAUUUUCUAUGCUUCUCAUAAUCAGACACAAUUCAAUCUAAUUAUUUCGUAUGUCAUGUCUUCAAAAGUAAAGAAUUGUACACUAAACGGAAAUCGACAUUGUAGCUUUUAAUUUUUCUAAUGCUCUUUCUUUGUUAACGAGUUUAUAUCCUGAGAGUGGAUUGGAUUAAAAAAAAAAAAAAAAAAAGUUUUGAUGUUCAAGGUAAGCCAUAAUAACAUGCAUCUUAUUUAUCUGCCUAUAUCUAAAUUUGUGCACUGAAUUUAGUAUUUUGGUUAGUGUGAAGGGAUCAGAUAUUGGCUUCCAUAAACCAACUUGUAUUUACUUAAUUAAUUAAUUAACACCAUUUAGUAUUUAACAAAUUAAAAUUUCGUGUUUAAUUUGUCUUAUUUUUUAUUUUUUGAAGCAAGAAUAAGGUAUAGCAGUAGGUAAAGUUGAAAUACAUAUUUAUUCCUUACAAAUUUAAAUUCGUUUUCAGCCAAAUAUACCUACUUAAAACCACUCAAUCAGGCCAUUGGCAACAGUUUUUAGGUUUUUCUAGUUAACCGUGUACUUUUUUGCUUAUUAAUAAAAUUCUUUUGUGCUGAGAUUUAAAAUAAAGAAGGAGAAAAUAAGUUAUUUAAUUAACCCUGUUUUUAAGUGUUGGCAUAAAUACAGGACUGGAUUCCUUGAGUAACUUGGAGGAGCUGGACAUGACAGGCAAUGCAAUCGAUAAUCUUGUGGUUCCUAAAGGUAUACAAAAUGUUCAAAUAUUAAUAAUUUGGAGGACAGUUUAAUUGAUUUGAUUAGGAAUGCCCAAUGACACUUACCCAAAAUAAUUUAAUCUGAAAUUGUAUCCAAAACAGAUUUCAGAGGUUUGAGGAAGUUGAAUACCCUUCGUAUAGGGGGAACCAGAAUUCAAAUGAUAGAUGGAAGCAAGGUGUUGCAAUCAAUAGGAUCACUACCGUCCCUCAAAACACUUGACCUUUGGUAUACUAAUUUUACGGGAACAGUAGUUAAUCAAGGUAAGUAAAUCUUUUAUGUCGAAAAUAAUUGAAUUAAUAUAUAUAGCUAAAAUUUAUUGUUUCUACUUCUUUCUAAAUAGAAUUGCACAAUUUCACCAACUUGGAAGAAUUGAUAUUGCUCGAGUCUGAUCUCCAUGUAAGCCAGCUUCUACAAAGCAUCGCAUCAUUCACUUCGUUAAAGUAUUUGUCAAUGGGAGGUUGUACUUAAUGAAGCAAUUAUGGGUAUCCAAAAGAUUUUUUCUUAAUUCGAUAAUAAAUUAUGGGUAUCUGAAGCUUUUAUGAUAUUAAUUCGAUAAUAAUUCUUUCUUUUCAAGUUAAUUUUUUCCCCUAAAAUAAGAUUUUUUUUCUUUUAAAUUUCAUAUAUUUUCAUUGUCCAAUAGUUCUAGCUUCUCUUAAUUGCAGGAUUCUUGAUUAAGGUUAAUGAAAUUUUAGUUCUGUUAUGUUAAGAAUAUUUCGAUCGCUUAGAAGAGUAAAGAAAAAUAAGUAAAUUAACCAAAAAAAAAAGAGAAAAGGACCGGAUUAUCCUUAUUCCCUUGCAUUAUGUGAUCAAUAUCAAAAUUAUAACCAUUUCUUGUUUAUUGCUUGUAGAUUUUCUUAAAUUCAAGAAUUUGGAACAUCUGGACAUGGGUGGGGGCGCAAGUUGACGUCAACACCAGUUUUCUUCAAAUUGUCGGCGAAUCGAUGCCUUCUCUUAAGUUUUUAUCACUGACAGGUUCAAGUCUUAAUAAAAACGCCAUUCUUGAUCAAGGUUAGUUAAUGAUUCUCUUUCUCCCUCUCUCGCAUCUUAACUAAAUUUAAUUGAGAAUAUCUAUAAUGCUAGCUAUUUAUAAACUUAAUGAAAGAUGAUAAGGAGCUACUAUAAUGACAAAAACAACUGUAAAAUAGUGCGCUGUUGUAGUGUUAAUUGAAAAAUAAUGCUAAUUUUAUAGUCAUUUUGUUGCCAUUACGUCAGAUUCCAUUGUUCAAUUAUUUAAGUUUUAUGCAAAUAUAUUUUUCAGGACUUUGUCGGUUAGUGCAUCUACAAGAGUUAUACAUCGGCGGUAAUGAUUUGAGAGGUAGCUUGCCAUGGUGCUUGGCAAACAUGACAUCCCUCCAAGUGUUAGAUGCCUCUUUUAAUCAACUUACUGGAAACAUCUCCCCAGGCCUUUGUGAGUUGGUGCUUCUGAGAGAGUUAUACAUUGAUUACAAUUAUUUAAGAGGUAGCUUGCCUUUGUGCUUGGCAAAUUUGACUUCCCUUCGAGUAUUAGAUGUCUCUUACAAUCAACUUACUGAAAACAUCUCAUCUUCCCUCAUGCAUCUAAUAUCUAUGGAAAAGCUCAUACUUUCAAAUAAUCACUUCUUCCAAAUCCCUAUUUCACUUGAACCACUUUUCAAUCUCACAAAACUCAAGACUUUCGAUGGUGAAAUAUACGCAGAAACUGAGUCACAUUAUAAUUCUUUGACCCCAAAAUUCCAAUUGACUUCUAUCUCAUUGUCUGGCUACGGAGAUGGUGGCACAUUUCCCAAAUUCUUGUACCAUCAGCAUGACUUGAAGAAUGCUGAUCUCUCACACCUUAACUUGAGUGGAAAUUUUCCAAAUUGGUUGGUAGAAAACAAUACGAACUUAGAGACGCUUCUUCUUGCCAAUAACUCUCUUUUUGGAUCAUUUCGGAUGCCAAUUCAUUCCCACCAGAAAUUAGCAACAUUGGAUGUCUCCAACAAUUUCUUUCAAGGCCAUAUCCCAGUAGAAAUCGGAACAUAUCUGCCAGGCUUAAUGCAUUUAAACUUAUCUAGAAAUGCUUUCAACGGUAGCAUUCCCUCUUCAUUUGCUGAUACGAAAAUGUUGAAAAGCUUGGACAUAUCCUACAAUCAGUUGACUGGUGAAAUCCCUGAGCGCAUGGCCAUGGGUUGCUUCUCAUUGGAAAUUCUUGCAUUGUCAAACAACAGUUUGCAAGGUCAUAUAUUCUCUAAAAAAUUUAACUUGACAAAUUUGAUGAUGUUGCAGUUGGAUGGUAAUAAAUUCAUUGGAGAGAUCCCAGAAAGCUUAUCUAAGUGCUAUUUGUUGGGAGGAUUGUAUCUGAGUGAUAAUCAUCUCUCUGGUGAGAUUCCAAGAUGGUUGGGUAAUUUGUCAGGUUUAGAAGAUAUUAUAAUGCCCAAUAACAAUCUUGAAGGACCAAUUCCAAUCGAGUUUUGUCAGCUUGAUUAUCUGAAGAUUUUAGACCUUUCAAACAAUAGUAUUUUUGGAACUUUACCAUCUUGUUUUAGUCCAGCAUCUAUCGAACAAGUUCAUUUGUCGAAAAACAAGAUAGAAGGACGGCUGGAGAGUAUAAUCCAUGACAGCCCUCAUUUGGUGACAUUCGAUCUUAGUUAUAACAGCUUACACGGAAGUAUUCCAAAUCGGAUUGACAGACUACCUCAGUUAAACUACCUUCUUUUAGCUCAUAAUUAUAUUAAAGGCGAAAUACCAGUUCAAUUAUGCCAGUUGAAGGAAGUGCGGUUGAUUGAUCUUUCUCAUAAUAAUCUAUCUGGUCAUAUUCCUCCUUGCUUGGUUAACACUUCACUCAGUGAAGGUCAUCAUGAGGCAGUAGCUCCAACUUCUAGUUCGUGUGGUCGAGCGUCUGGCUAUGCAAGUCCAUGUGCGAAAAAUACAAGUGGACUUCCGAUGGGAAAGGAAGAAACUGUACAGUUCACAACAAAGAAUAUGUCCUACUAUUAUCAAGGAAGAAUUUUGACGAGUAUGUCUGGGAUUGAUCUUUCUUGUAACAAACUGACAGGUGAGAUUCCUACUCAAAUUGGAUAUCUUACAAGGAUUCGUGCGCUAAAUCUAUCUCAUAACAAUUUGACGGGCACAAUCCCGACAACAUUUUCAAACCUGAAGCAAAUCGAAAGCUUGGACCUCUCCUACAACCUACUGCAUGGGAAAAUCCCUUCUCAGCUCACUGUGCUAAAUACAUUGGCGGUCUUCACAGUAGCAUACAAUAACUUAUCAGGAAAAAUUCCAGAUAGAGUUGCACAAUUUUCAACUUUUGAGGAAGAUAGCUAUGAGGGGAAUCCUUUUCUUUGUGGAUGGCCACUGUCUAAAAGUUGCAAUGAUAGUGGAUUAUCAGCAGUGACACGAGAAGCUUACACUGAUAAUGAAGAAGGUGAUAGUUUAAUUGACAUGGACAGUUUCCUAAUCACUUUUACAGUAUCUUAUGGAAUUGUGAUAUUAGGAAUUAUUGGAGUUUUGUACAUAAACCCCUAUUGGCGACGAAGAUGGUUUUACCUUGUUGAAGUAUGUAUGAUCUCUUGCUACUAUUUUGUAGUAGAUAAUCUUAUUCCUAGAAGAUUCUAUGGUGGAUGGAUGUAAUUUCAUUUACUUUACAACUUAUAUGUAAUUUUUUAAAGAAUUUUCUUUUGCAUGCAUGGAAUAGCAACUCAAUAAAAGUAUUUGAUGCAAAUUGUCCUAGAACAACUUAGUAAUUUCAUUGCUACUAUUUGGUUGUAUAUAUACAGUUAAUGAAAUUUUUAAUCAUUCGCAGUAGGAAAUUUCUUUAGAUGGCGGCCAAAACUAACAGAUUUGGGGCUCUACUUCUACACAUCAUAACAGGCAAAAGGUCUCUCUUUUACACGAUCUGAAUGAAGAUUAACUUACGCCCUCUAGGCUCUGGAGUGUGUGUAAGUUCUCUAUUAAACUUGACGGUUGAGAUUUCAGGUCCAGAUGAAAGUGAAAUGCAGGCGACGAGACUACACUUUAAGUAAACUGGGACAAACUUAAAAUAAAAAAAAUUGUAGUCCAGGGUGAGAGUGAUGGGUAGCUCAACUUAUGGAGGAUAACUAGGACUUGGAAUAACUAUCAGAUUUGCAACUCUUGUUAUAUGCUAGUGGGGAUUUAGGUAGAAAUUUUUUUUUUUUUCCUUUUUGCCCUCUUCCUCACAAUAAAAACACGUAACACACCAAGCCGUGCCCAAAAUAAUCCUAUUUUAUUCAUGUCAUGAAUCCAAAAACUAUCCCAGCUCACUUUGUUUAACCAGCAUAACUAAAUUGUGGGUAUAAAUGAACACACUUUCGAAGCCUGUAACUUAUAAUAAGCUCAAACCCAAAAAUGACAUUUAAAUCCUGCAAGUGUUUUUCAUCAUCCCUAACAAAAAGAAACAAGAAUAAUUAUAUACCAAUAAUUUUUCCAUAAAAAAUACUGAUUUGAGUUGAAACACUAUACAAACUGGGUUUUAUACACUUGCAGAAAGCUACACGGUAGACAAAAUCUAGCAGCUACAUAUUGGUAUCACUUUCAGCUGGUCAUGAAUGGUGUGCAUUCAGCAGUGCUCGAUAGACCAUGUCUAUGAAUUGAUUGUCCUAUUACAUAUAAAAGCUGGUCAGAUAUACAAGGAAAAAAAUAAUAAUUGAAAAUGCAUCACAAAAAAUAAGUGUUUCGCAUUAGUGUUUGCACUCUAAGCAUGGCAAAGUGGUGCGGGGUUCAUGAUUUUGAAGACUGUGAUAAGUGAAAAAUAGUUCAAUCCACUGAUGAACAUAAAUUUAUUUACAUGUCAAUUUAGAUAUCAUCAAAAAGUAACAGUAAUUCAGAGUCACUUAAAAUAGUUGAUAAAAUGCGUGCCAUGAAUGUAUUUUGUACAUAAGAAAUCCAAAGAGUAUUUCUGACAAUACAAAUAUGCUAGCUUUAAGUCUGCUGUCAAUAUGCAAUUAAGAAGAUUAUACCAGCUGCAUGAUAAAGUUCCCCUAAUCUUAAUAACAGUAAACAUGAACAUGUCAGAUGCAAUUAUAGCUUUGAGCAUUUGCAUAACCAGAAAUCCUAACCUGAACAAGCACCAGAAGUGUCUCUCGGACUUUCUCCUUGCUGAUAAAUGGUCCGCUGUCUGAAGUAAGAGCAGGAGUAAGAGAUGGUGGAGGGGUUGGUGGUGGAAAAGGUUGAAGCACUGGGGCACCAUAUGGGCGUUGCAGACUCGGGGGAGGAUUAAGUGGCGGAGCUGUUGGUGUAGAUGAAGAGACAAGCUGCAUCAUCCGUGCAUAGGAGGAUGGAGGAGGAACAAAGAAUAAGGAAGGCUUUACAAGAUUAGGGGUAGGUGCUGAUAGAGGUGGAGAUGGUAUUUGCAAAGUUGGCACGAUAGGAGAAGCAACACUGGCGG